rnacentral:rRNA from 1 species
AUUGAACGCUGGCGGCAGGCCUAACACAUGCAAGUCGGACGAGCGGCGGACGGGUGAGUAAUGUAUGGGGAUCUGCCUGAUGGAGGGGGAUAACUACUGGAAACGGUAGCUAAUACCGCAUACCAUCAGAUGUACCCAUAUGGGAUUAGCUAGUAGGUGGGGUAACGGCUCACCUAGGCGACGAUCCCUAGCUGGUCUGAGAGGAUGAACAGCCACACUGGAACUGAGACACGGACCAGACUCCUACGGGAGGCAGCAGUGGGGAAUAUUGCACAAUGGGCGCAAGCCUGAUGCAGCCAUGCCGCGUGUAUGAAGAAGGCAUUCGGGUUGUAAAGUACUUUCAGUCGGGAGGCGUUACCGGCAGAAGAAGCACCGGCUAACUCCGUGCCAGCAGCCGCGGUAAUUC